GUGAGUCAUCGAAUCUUUGAACGCACCUUGCGCUCCUUGGUAUUCCGAGGAGCAUGCCUGUUUGAGUGUCGUGAAAUACUCAAUUUCAAUUUUGAAAUUGGAUUUGGGUGCUGUUGUGGACAUUCUACAACUCAUCCUAAAUGCAUUAGCGAUCUGCCUCUGAUCACAUGCAAUGUGAUAAGAAAAAAAGCAUUGUAAGGAUCGGGGUUUAAUAUUUGCUUCUAACCGUCGAAAGACAAAGCGCAUAUAUAUGUCAUUUGACCUCAAAUCAGGUAGGACUACCCGCUGAACUUAAGCAUA
rnacentral:misc_RNA from 1 species